rnacentral:rRNA from 1 species
AGCAGCCGCGGUAAUUCCAGCUCCAAUAGCGUAUAUUAAAGUUGUUGCAGUUAAAAAGCUCGUAGUUGAAUUUCGGGAUCAAUACGUCGGUCGUGCUUCGGUACGUACUGGCGUAAUUGAUUUCUCCCUUCUGACGAACCAUGAUGUCAUUAACUUGGUGUCAUGGGAAAUCAGGACUGUUACUUUGAAAAAAUUAGAGUGUUUAAAGCAGGCUCACGCUUGAAUACAUUAGCAUGGAAUAAUGAAAUAGGACGUUCGAUCCUAUUUUGUUGGUUUUUAGGAUCAACGUAAUGAUUAAUAGGGAUAGUUGGGGGCAUUAGUAUUCAAUUGUCAGAGGUGAAAUUCUUGGAUUUAUUGAAGACUAACUACUGCGAAAGCAUUUGCCAAGGAUGUUUUCAUUAAUCAAGAACGAAAGUUAGGGGAUCGAAGACGAUCAGAUACCGUCGUAGUCUUAACCAUAAACUAUGCCGACUAGGGAUCGGAUGAUGUUAAUUUUUAAUUGA